AAUAUGGGACAAUGGGCGAAAGCCUGAUCCAGCCAUGCCGCGUGUGUGAAGAAGGUCUUCGGAUUGUACAGCACGUUAAGUUGGGAGGAAGGGCAGUAAGUUAAUACUUUGCUGUCUUGACGUUACGGACAGAAUAAGCACCGUCUAACUUCGUGCCCGCAGCCGCGGUAAUACGAAGGGUGCAAGCGUUAAUCGGAAUUACUGGGCGUAAAGCGCGCGUAGGUGGUUCGUUAAGUUGGAAGUGAAAGCCCCGGGCUUAACCUUGGAAUUGCUUUCAAAACUGACGAGCUAGAGUACGGUAGAGGGUAGUGGAAUUUCCUGUGUAGCGGUGAAAUGCGUAGAUAUAGGAAGGAACAUCAGUGGCGAAGGCGACUACCUGGACUGAUACUGACACUGAGGUGCGAAAGCGUGGGGAGCAAACAGG
rnacentral:rRNA from 1 species